rnacentral:rRNA from 1 species
CAGCAGCCGCGGGAAUACGGAGGGUGCAAGCGUUAAUCGGAAUUACUGGGCGUAAAGCGUGCGCAGGCGGUUGUGUAAGACAGGUGUGAAAUCCCCGGGCUUAACCUGGGAACUGCGCUUGUGACUGCACAGCUAGAGUAUGGCAGAGGGGGGUGGAAUUCCACGUGUAGCAGUGAAAUGCGUAGAGAUGUGGAGGAACACCGAUGGCGAAGGCAGCCCCCUGGGCCAAUACUGACGCUCAUGCACGAAAGCGUGGGGAGCAAACAGGAUUAGAUACCCCUGUAGUCCCUGUCUCUUAUAC